UACGUAGGGUGCAAGCGUUGUCCGGAAUUAUUGGGCGUAAAGAGCUCGUAGGCGGCCUGUCGCGUCGGAUGUGAAAGCCCGGGGCUUAACCCCGGGUCUGCAUUCGAUACGGGCAGGCUAGAGUGUGGUAGGGGGAGAUCGGAAUUCCUGGUGUAGCGGUGAAAUGCGCAGAUAUCAGGAGGAACACCGGUGGCGAAGGCGAGUCCCUGGACAACUCCUGACACUGAGGCACGAAAGCUAGGGGAGCAAACAGG
rnacentral:rRNA from 1 species